rnacentral:lncRNA from 1 species
CCACUAAAAUAUAAUGUCUCCAUAACUUCACAGCAAGAAUGGUAAUCGUGACUUCCAAAUCACCAGUAGGGUAAUUCAUCUUAUGAGAUUCCAUUUAUCGUGAAACGUAUGCAAUCACCCUAACAUUUGCAUCAACAUGCCUCCAAUACCAUUCAAGAAACAUCACUAAAAAUUUAUGAUUACCACUAUUCUCUGGGAAUACCAAAAUACGUGCAUGAGUGAGGAAAUACUUCAGUUGUUGAAUCAUUUGCUCACAAUUUCCUUCCCACUCAUACAUAACCUCUUUUCUCAACCGUCUCGUCAAUGACAAAGCAAUGACUGAAAAAUCUUUCACAACCAUCCAAGAUAGCCUGGUAAGCUAAGAAAUUCUGAAUCUCAAUUACAGCUCGUGGUUGUUCCAAUUUCUCAAUUUCUGCUAUCUUUUAAGGAUUCACUUGAAUACCUUAAGAAUAUAUAACAAAUCUCAGAAUGCCACCUGAUUCGUCUAACUUUAGCAUUUGCUACUUAGCAUACAACCAACGUUCUCUCAAUUUUUGGUUCACCGACUUAAUACGUUUACAUGCUCUGCUCUGGCUCAGAAUAUGCCAGAAUAUCUUCAAUAAAAAUGAUAUCAAUCUAUCAAGGCAUUAUUGGAAUACUUCAUCCAUCAACUCAUAAAACAGCAUGAGUAUCCACAUAGCAUCACCAAACUUCAUAAGGACCAUAACAAGUCCAGAAAACCAUCUUAUGAUCAACGUCACUUAUAAUAUUCAAUUGGUAGUAACCAGAUCUCAAUUCAAUCUUUGAAUCUUCGCAAUUACUUCUGAGCUGGUUAAAUAAACAUCAGUACAUUACCAUGGAUAACGGUUCUUAAUCGUUACCCGACUCCAUUGUCUAUAAUCAAUGAACAAUCUCUAAGUCCAUUUUCUUCCUCACCAACAAACUGGGGCUCCUCAAAAAUGUUGUACUAGGUUGAAUGAAACUUUUAUCAACCAAUUCUUUCAACUGAAUUUCCAAUUCCCUUAACUCAUCCUGAACCAAUCUUUAACAUAGAUUUAUACCUGGCAACAAAUCAAUAGUGAACCUCAUAUCUCUGCCUGAAGGCAAUCCAGGUAUACUUUCAGGGAAGACAUCAAGAAAAGUCUAACCCUUUUGACAUUAUUCACACUACUCCAAACAACAUCAUUUAGCACCACAUGAGCUAAUUAUUUUUGACAGCCUUUCGAAAACAAUCUCUUUGCUCUCACAGCGUAAAUAACGGCCUGACUCAAUCCACUUUGCAUACUUACAAAAGUAAUCUCUGGUCAUCCAGAUCGAUGGAAAGUAACUGGUUUCCCGUAACAUUCCAUCUAGUCACAACUAUAACAAUCACUCUAAUGGAAUAAAAUUAAUUGACCCAAUACAUACUUUAUUAUUACUGAACAUUCUAAGUAAGUACAACACUAACAUAAAAUAACCUACCGGUUUGCUUGCUUAACGAAUCCACGAAUGAGUUAUUAAUAUUACGGUCUGCAGCCCGCAAUACUGAUAAAUCAUCGUUGUCUCGAUAAUAGGCAACCACUCUCAAAGAUAUAACAAUACUAUUUUGUCACUCAAUGCAAAAUACAUACACUCGUCUCAACUACAUUUAUUUACCACUCUCUAGGUAAUAUCAUACAUAAUAAGAAAUAUAUCAGCCGAAGUCAACUAGAAUGACCAAUACGGUUGAUUCAACUCUUAUCUCAAUAAUACGUCGGCCGGAUCCACUCCGCGUGGUCGGUACGGCCGAGUCUAUAACUCACCAAUUUCUCAUGUGUCAAUGAAUCCACUUCUCAUGGUCUGUACGACUGAACAUAUAACUCAUCAAAUCUCUCUGUACUCACGGUCAAUCCGACCAAACUACUAAAUUCAUAAACUUGUUGAAUCAACACUAUGAUGUCAUAGAAAAUUGUUGAGUACAACUGAUUAUAGGGACGAUUCACAAUUCUGGGUCCCCUCUGUUUACAUAAACACAUUCAUUAAUUUCACAUUUCCCAAAGUGUUAAUUUUUGUACCUGCUGCACAAGGUACAUUUCCUUUACUCGAAACACCUUGUCUCAAAUAUCUGGGAUUACCAGUAUAUCCAUCACUUUUACUCUGACCAGUGACAUUAAAACCUCAGCUGGAAGAAUUAAUUCUAGCUUCACUUCUUUCGAAGCUCUGAAUCUUUCUAUAUCUUUGAUAUGACGAAUCAUUAACUUUAUCGUCUUCUUUUGAUUCCCAUUCAUUUCUUAUUCUUCUUUAUUCUCGUUGCUCAUGUUCUUAGAGUCCUCAAGACUCAACAGCAUCUCGUAUAUUCCUGGUAAGAAGUAUAAUGGAUAGUGGUCACCCAAAAUACCACUUCCCUUUUUGCCACCCAGCUUAACAACAUAACACCUCCACCAAUAACAACAAUAUCUGGAUGGAACAAGGCAAGUCUGAAAACUUUCUAUAAUAUCCCUCGAUCAUCACCUUCCUUGUCUCAUAUUUGUAAACUCUUGUUUACUACCAUCGAUAAAUGCCGGAGGGAUAAACUUUUCCUUAAACAAGUCCUUAAAUAAUUCUCAAUCAGCUGUUUUCUCCGGUGACAACAAUUAACAUUCAUGUUUCCACCAGGAUGCAAAUUCAUACCCAAAACCAGGUAGUCGUCUCGACCCCCUGUCAGAAGGAAGAUUCCUUUGACUUGCAUAAUCUGAAACAUCUUUUCCAAAUGGUUAAACCGUUACUUCGCUCCCUCAGGUUCAUCAUUUCUCUUAAGUGAUUCAAAUUCAACUCAUAACCCAUCUUAAAAUGUCCCUUUUUAUAAUAGACUGAAUCACCAUAAUAAUAGUUUCCCCUAAACCGUUAUAUUAGGGAGACUAAAUUCCUCUAACUAAGUGGCUUGCUACGAGGCGGUGUAGUUCUGACAGAAUUCACUAGAACUUCUCAAAAUGUCCAAGAUUGCAACCAUGCUCUGAUACCAACUGACACACCCCGUCCCGAAGGAGGGCAUGCUGGCCGUCACGUGAGAGUGACGUAACCAUUUGCACAGUACGGAAGCUUUAAGAUACAAUUUAUAAGUUGAUACACCCGAAGGGAGUCCUAAUUUUGUCCAAUCUGUCAGACACCGUCGAAUUCCUCGUAGUCACCACACCUUUGUGAUUCCUGAACCUGGAGGGGCGCAAAACCAAAAUUGAGUGGGUCAGUAAAACAAUUCUUUUCCAAAUCCAAACAUUUCUUAAAACGUUGUAACCCCUCUCCGUAAAACCUGUAUACUUUCCCAGAAAUGUAAAAUAUAAAUAUACAUAUAUAUUCUCAAAACUUCAUUUUUACUAUCUCAACAUUAUCUCCUUAUCAAUCAUGCCAUGCCAUGUCAUCUCAACAUUUCUCAUAUUAAUUAUGCCAUGCCACAUCAUCUCAACAGUAAUAAGGUAUGAAUGCAUCAACAUAAUCAUAUCAGGUGCAAGAAAGUAAUCAACCGUAGGCCCUCUAAUAGCCCUAUACGGUUGAACCUAGAGCUCAAAAUCUAUCAUUAUCACUCUACCGGAGUCACCUCUGUGACCCGUCCGGCCUUCUGCACACAAGUUACGCUCUAGUGCUUCUCAUAAAUCAUCUGUGCACAUAAUCUAAGGUCACCCACCAGUCGGAAUCUCACUAACACUCUCGCGACUGGUCUGUCGUACCCACUCCGCGUGGACUGUACGACUAGCAUCUACUUGGAUCCAAGGCGAGCGUGCGAUGCGGUGAAUACUAUAAGCACUAAACCAUGGUGCAGGAUUUGAGCUCAAUAUAUAUCAUCAUCAUCAUAACAGUAAUUAAAUACUCACCUGUGCGUCCACCGCACCAUUUCAUACAUAUGCAUCAUAAAUCAAUUCUUACCUGUGCGUCCACCGCACCAAUUCAUACAUAUGCAUCAUAUAUUAAUUCAUGCAUGGCAUUUCAACUCACAUUUCUAUAUACUUUUCAUAUCAAUUCUAUGCAUGGUAUUUCACUUCCCGUUUUUCCACAUAACUCAUAUGCAUUUCAUUUUAAACAUAUUUUCAUUUCAAUUCAAUUUCUGGGAAACGUCAAGUAUAUAUAUAUAUAUACGGAAAACAAAACUGCCCACUCACCUGGAGUUCAUCCAACAACUCCCUAGCACCACACAUCAAGGCGUCAUGACGAUCGCCGCCUAGAAUAGUAAUCAAAUCCAGGCUCAGAAUUCAUAUCGAUAAAAUAUAUAACUUAUAUAAAAUACGUCACUACGUUGAUCGAUCCGGAAGAUCUGCCACUCAGAUUUUAAAUCCAUAACUUCCAGAGGUCCACAUAUACCUCUAGGACAACAUCCUAAAAUUUCAUUACCAUCCAACGGUCGGAUCUCCGUCAAUUUCCAAAACUAAGUGACGGUUAACAUUUUAUAUUAUGGACUUACAAUUCCAAUUCCGGAAGAUCCGUAACUCGGAUUCCCAAUCCGUAAGUUCCAAUAAUCCUCAAAUAUUACGUAUUACAACGUAUCAAAGUUUGGUGACGAUCCAACGGUCGGAUCAUCAAUUCACAUUUUCACCAAAACUAUAAAACGUUAUUCGAACACCUAACCAACAAUCCUUAAUAACUUUCUCAUACGGUGCUCAAAUUGGGUAUAUGAAUAUACCACGGUGAUCUACUCGACGUCACGGACGUCGACAUAUUUUUAAAAAAUAAUUUUAUUUUUUUUUUAUUUUUUACUGUAGCACCUUCUUCUUCCUUGGGUCGCCGGACUGGUUUUUCCGGCGGCCGUUUUCUGAACAGUUUUUUUUCAAAUUGCCAUAACUUUGUCAUUUCUCAACGAAAUCAAGUGCUUCAAAAACGAAAGUUGUAGCCCUUGAAGAGACAAAGAGAAUGGUACCUUGCAAAACACCUAGUUCGCCGUGGUUUGGCCGGAAACUGCCUCGAAAGCCUCGGAGGUCGCCGGAAACUGGGUAUUUUUCAAAUGAGUAUAACUUCUUCAAUACUCAACGAAAUUGAGUGAAACAAAAAGGAAAGUUGUAGUACUUGACGAGACGAAGAGAUUGAUACCUACCUUGACGCCUAACUCGCCGGGGAUUCGCCGGAAAACGCCUCGAAAGCUCCGGCCAAACUUUGAACUUGUCGAUCUCCGUGUUCUUACGUCCAAAAACUUCCAACGAAGCACUCCGAGCUUCGUGGGAACCUCCUAGAGCUCCCUAUGAUCUUAGUUUGGCCUAAAAAUCAACAAAUACAAAGUUCAUGAAUAGUGUCAUUUCACGGGCUUGAGUUUUCUACGUGAAAUCGUGGGAAACCUUACCUGAAAACAAUACCAAUGUGUUCGUAUGGUCCUCACGAACAUGAUGGUACCUUCCUCAUCCUGAAACUGUGAAGUUUUCGAGAGCCUUGGUGUUUGUCCGAGAGUUUGAGAGAGAAUGAGGGAGUGUGAGAGUGACUGAGGGAGAGAUGAGGAAGAGAGAGAGAAGGAGACAACAAAACGGGAAAUGGGGAAGGAUUUCAGGAGGUAGGACCCUACAUAAAGUCCAAAUACAAAAUAUUAACACAUACAAUAAUAAAUCUAACCCUAGUUUAGGAUGUUUUUAGGUAAAACAAAUACCAAAUUUACGCACCUUAAUCUCGUUUAAGGGCGUUUCUGUAAUUUCACGUCCUCGGAGUUUAUAAUUCCGGGACGGGCUGUGACAACAUACAAACAAGUUUGACGGUUGGAUCGUUGAAACUAUUUUCGUACAAUGCGUGUCCUAUCAAGUUCAAUGGUAUAUAUAUUUAUUAAGUAGAUUUUAAUUUAUUUAUUUUGUAGUUAUAACAGUUAAGAGAUUGAAUGAUAUAUAUGUUAAAAUAAUUAUUAUGGGUUUUUGUUAGAAAAAUAUAUUAUUGUGGGGUUUAAGUAAAAAAAAAAAAAAUUGAACUUGAAAGGAGAGUAGUCACAUUUUCAGUAAAUUUUUUAAUAAUUUUCUAAAAAUAAAAAUAACUUGUGCAACGCUUGAAUGUAAUCAUCCCGCAAAACCACUUUGCGCGACGUCAAAUUGUAUACCUGCGUCACGCCAGUUGAUAUUUUUGGCGGUGAAUAUUGAAAAAUAGGUGAAUAAUGAAAAAUAGGUGAAUAAUGAAAAUUUUUGGCGCUGAAGCCGUUGACCUAUUUCUUCCCUUUCGCUCUUUCUUUCCCGUAUCUCCCCAUCCUUUCGCAUAAUCCUUCAUCUUUCCCUUUCACAUAAUCCUCAUAUCUCCCUUUCGCCCUCUCGCUCUAUCUUCCCCGUCGCUCUAUCUCCCCUUUCCAUAAUCCUCAUCUACUCUUCCCGUAGUCCUCAUCUCCUCUAUCUCUCCUCAUCGCCUUGAUCCCCAAUUCUUGAACCCAGACCUGUCUUCCCUCUCUCUUUCCUAUAUACCUCUCUCUUGCCUCUCUUUCUAAACGAUGGGCAGCCACACGAAUCUCGAAGCCGACGCGAAUCAAGUCUCAAAAUCAAGGUAAGGGUUUCUGAUGCAAAUGUUGGUCUGGUUACUGAAUUUAGCUGAUGCAAAUGUUGGCUUGGUUACUGAAUUUAGUUGGUCUGAUGCAAAAUUAAGGUUGAAUUGAUUUAGUUAAUUUAUUGAAUUUAGCUCACUUGAUGCAAAUGUUGGUCUCUGGUUACUGAUUAAUUUAUGAAUAUCUCUGAUUUUAUGAGAUGGGUUUUGUUUAGUCUCCAACAUUCGAAGGCUUGACUGAUUAAUUUAUGAUUAUGAGAUGGGUUUUGUUUAGUCUCCAAUAUCUCUCAAUAUCUCUGAUUUUAUGAGAUGGGUUUUACUGAUUAAUUUAUGCAAAUGUUGGUUUGGUUGAAAUAGUAAUUGAGUCUCCAACAUUCGAAGGCACUGUAAGAGGAAGCAUUGGCUUGGAUUUUGAAUACUAUUGUCGGCGCUAUGAUGAAAAACAGAUUUGGUUUCAUAUGUCACAAUGCUUUUACUUGCUUGCGAAUCUCUUUAUUCUUGGGAUGAUGUUGAGAAGAUUUUAAAUUUUGGUAUCUGCAUUUUACGUGGUUCACAGAAAACCAGUGCAAGGGACUUGCUGAAACGUAUUGAAGUGGCCAUUGAAAAGGUAAAUAUAAUAGCUUCACAGUAUUUGGAUUCCCACACUUACACUUCCUAAAAUUCCGGCAAUAUAACAUUUCUAUUUUAAGCAGCUCAAAUGUGGGACUAAUCUUGAAGAUAUUGGCUUGUGGUCGAUUAUGAAGGAUAAUAUUGGCUCCUUUUCACAUAUAACAUUUAUGUUUCUCCAUUGACGCUCUGCUUCCAAAGCUCACAGAGAAAAGAAAACCCACUAAGACCCACCUCUCACAUCUUGCUGGUAUGCACUCAACUUCCCUCUAUCUGUUCCUUGUUUUGUUUGUGGGGUUUCCUUCUUUGAAUGGUUUUUCCUCUUGGGUUGUGUUUUUGGAUUGUCAAGCUGAUUAAUCGUCCAGUGAUUUCAGCUCAAGGAUCAAAAGGGAUUCUGGCCUCUUCUUUUUUGCUUUGGGUUUUAGUUGAUUAUAUGUAAAGCUAGAUUCUAGAACUCAACUACAUGUACAAGAACAGCAAAAAAGUGACAACUUGCAUAAAACCUUUGUUACUUUGAUCUGUCGUGUUUUAGGCUACCUAGUUCACCUGUUUUCUCAAACAAGAUUGUCUCUACUAGUCAACCUUAAGCAUUGAAUACGUAGCUAUUGCUGGCCUUUCUGUUCGUCUUCGAUUACGAUCUGUUUGGUUUAACUUUUCUGCACGAAUUUGAUUAUUUAUAUAUUGGUGGUGUUACUUAUGUUUCAACUUUUCCCAUUUUUUUUUUUUAAACUUUUGGUCUAAUGGUUUUUAAUCGCUUAAAUUUUGAUGCUUUCUUGUUGUCGUCUCGUUGCCAUGAUUGAUCCCUUGAAGUCUUGUUGAUUACAUUUCUCUAAGAAGCAUCUCGUCCUCUGUGAAAGUCAAUUUUCACACAUGGUUUAUUUGUUUAUUUUUCUUUGCUUUUUCACACAUGGUUUAUUUGUUCAGUUUUCUUGCCUUUUUCUUCUAGUUUCAAAUGCAAGAAAGGAUUAGUUUCUAAUGUUAUAUUUUUAUGGUUCAAAAAGUGUAGAUGUUGCGGUUGAUCACUCGUCGUAGGAGUGUGACCAAUGCGCCUCCCGCAUUAUCACCAUGUACUGCUCCGGCCGUGAGUGCUCCAUUGAUUGGGGAGCCUACACCCUUCACUGAGGCUACUGCUACGACGUCCCAGGUGCCAUUAUCAUCUACGUCAUCAGUGUCGGUUCAUAUUACUUUUGAAAUUUUAUACAAUUUAUUUUUUAUUAUUGAUUAAUAAAAUUUUCUUAAUGUUUUUUUUUUCUUUAGGAGGGUUCUAAGUUCCCAGAGAUCGACUUGUUCAAGGACGUUUACGUUCAACUUGGAGAUGAGACCAGUGAGCAGCUUUAUGUAAGUAUAUGUAAUUGUUAUUAUUCUUAUAUUUAUGAAUCGUUCAAAUAGUAUUUAUAUUUGUUAUUAAACAUUAUAUGUUUUUUUCUUUAUUAUUACAGGCUUCUAUGGUGAAUACAAGCUGGAUGGAUGAAGUGGAAGAGUGUAUCCGGCGUGUUGUGUGACUGCUGUAUGCCACUGAAGCUCAAGGAAAAAUUUUAUAGGACGACAAUAAGGCUGGCGAUGCUGUAUGGCACAGAAUGUUGGGCGGUGAAGCAUCAACACGUACAAAAAAUGGGUGUAGCGGAGAUGAGGAUGCUUCGUUGGAUGUGUGGGCACACGAGAAAUGAUAAGAUUAGGAAUGAGGAUAUCCGAGGUAAAGUAGGAGUAGCCGAAAUUGUAGGAAAGUUGAGAGAAAACCGGUUACGGUGGUUUGGACAUGUGCAAAGAAGGCCUACUGACACUCCGGUUAGAAGAUGCGACUACGGGACAGAGGUUCAGGGCCGAAGGGGUAGAGGAAGACCUAGGAAUACUUUGGAAGAGACUCUAAGAAAAGACUUAGAGUAUUUGGAUCUAACGAAGAACAUGACACAGGACCGAGCACAAUGGCGUUCUAAGAUUUAUAUAGCCGACCCCACUCAGUGAAGAAAGCUUUGGUGUAUUUAACACAAUACGUUGGAAAUGAAGCAAAACUUAUUUAUUGAUAUCGCCGAUAAGUUACAAAUAUGUACAUAUACAUGAGUCAAAAUAAACAAACAAGAGGGAGCCUUCACAAAGGUUGCUUAGGAGAAGUCUCAGCAGUCGGUAGAGCCCCAGAAAGAGAAGGCAUCGGAGGGGGAUCAUUCGGAGUCUCAGUACUGGACAGAACCCUAGAAGGAAGAGGCAUCGGAGGUUGAUCAUUUGGAGCUUCAUUAUGCGGUACAGCCCUAGAAGACGAAGGUAAUAAAUGCCUUUGGAACAAACCCACAAACCGCUGAUGAUCAAGUAAAACCUGACCAUCAAAUUCCUUCAUCUGGUCAAGCUUCCUCUUCAUGUUUGUAGCAUAGUUAUGUGCGAGCCGGUGCAACUGUUUAUUCUUAUGCUUGAGCCCUCUAAUCUCCUGUUUGAGACUCAUCACUUCAGCCGCCAAUGAUUCAACUUGGCGGGUUCGAGCAAAUAGGCGUUGGGCCAUAUUAGACACAGAACCUGCACACUGAAUACUCAGAGCUAGAGAAUCCUUAACAGCCAAUUCAUCAGACCGUUUGGAAAGUAGUCUGUUAUCUUUGGGAGUGAGAAGGUUCCUGGCCACCAUCGCAGCGGUCAUAUCAUUCUUCAUCACGGAAUCCCCAACGGUAAGAGGACCAGUAGGGGAUAAGAAGGAUGGGCGCUAUAUGUUGUCUGGAGAAGGCGUGGCUGCCUCUUUAACAAGGUUCAAGUCAAAACGACGGUCGGAGGGGCCAGACAUUUUCAAAGGUGUUGAAGAGAGAAGAGGUCGGACAAAUCAAGAUCCUAGAAGUGCAAGAAGGGAGCUUCUACUGGUGAAGAUUCAAGUGUGCUUUGAAACUUAAUGCCAGCCUCUAUAAAAAUCAGCACUCAACGGAGCUUCAGAAAUCGAAGAGGUGUCUGCUCAGAAAUCGAAGAGGCGUUUGCUUUCUCAAAAGCUGGGCUGCUCAGAGACCACGAGGGCCGAUCUCAGAAAUCGAAGAGGCGUUUGCUUUCUCAAAAGCUGAGCUGCUCAAAGACCACGAAGAUCGAUCUCAGAAAUCGAAGAGGCUUGCUUUCUCAAAAGCUGGGCUGCUCAGAGACCACGAUGGCCGAUCUCAGAAAUCGAAGAGGCACUUUUCAGCCUUGUCAGCACCUGUCACAUGCACACUCAGCUUUGCUGAAAUUACGGGCAGUCUGUUGAAGAUUUCUGGUGAAGUAAAAAGCACGUGAAUCUUACUGUUCAAUCAUCCACUUUUCACACGCACCAUCAGCUCAGGGGUACCACAGAUAACUUUGCCAAAGAUCCCUGACAAAGUUUAGACACGUGAAGCUUGUAGCUCCCACUACAUCGCUAUGACCAAGAAGGGUAAAAAACUAGCAAAGAAACAGCACUAACAAAGUUUAGACACAUAAAUUUUGAAGGUCUAGCUAUCAUAUUAUUACCCACAAGGGUAAAGGAACAGCACCACUGCUGGAUAAUUGAAAAGUCCCUGUGUGUUAACCUCUGUGCUCCGUGGCAAGGUAUACUAGCAAACAUGCCCUAACUUUACUCACUUUCGAGAAAACACUCCCAACAAGAUUGCUUGCUCCAAAAUCGAAGAGGCACCGUUCUCCGAAUCUCGAGAGCCAGACUCCCAACAUGAUUAAUUUCUCAAAUAUCGAAGAGACACCGCUCUCCGAAUCUCGAGAGCCAGACUCCCAGCAGGAUUGCUCUCUUAAAAAUCGAAGAGGCACCGUUCUCCGAAUCUCGAGAGCCAGAUCCCCGACAGGAUUGCUUGUUCGAAAACUGAAGAGGCACCGCUUUCUCAACUUCGAGAGCCAGAUCUUCUUGGAUAAAGCUUGUCUGUAAUCUUCACACGCAACAUCAGCUUUCCAGAUACCACAGACCACUUUUUUCACAGUGCUCUGACACACGUGAAGCUGGCAGCUCCCACUAUCGUGCUAUGACCAAGCAGGGUAAAGGAAUAACAUUACUACUUGUUAGGGAGACUCCUAUAUAUGUCGACCUCCAUCCUCAAUGGACAGGCAGACCUGCAAAAAUGCUCAACCCUUCCUCAUAUCUGAGAGGGCACUCCCAACGACGCCUCUCGAAAUACUCAGCUUUCUUUCCCCCCGAUAAUACCUCUGCAAACAAGCUACACCAGAGCAAGAAUAUCUCAUAUCAUCAGGGUUAAAAGCAAGAGUAUCCCAUAUCAUGCUUUUUCUCUGUCUUUUCCUUUGGCCUUGUUCUUACCUGCAAGACAAUGAGAAAGAGAGCAAUCAGUCAGCACUUGGAAUCAAGCUUCUAGUCAGGAACUGACUGCCUGGAACCCCUUACCUGAUUACUUACCUGGCAUUGCUCUCGAGUACUCAUCUUUAACAUCUUAUGCUUCCAGAGAAGAUACCACAUCUGCCUGAGGAACCGAUAGGGAAAGUGAGAAGGAUACAAGGAAGCAUGUGGAGACAAGCGUAACAGAACGCGUGCCGAUACAUCCACUACUUUGUCAACAGCAAAAGUAUCCCAUAUCAGCAGGGUCGAACGUACUCUAGAUUUGAUGGACUUGUUUUGACCCUUAAAUUCUUCAGUCGGCCUUAUACUCUGGAGGAAACCAGAAAACCCUCCCGCCCAGUUCAAGAAUAAGCAUGUGGAAAGUUACUUCUUCAAAAGCAAAAGUAUCUCAUAUCAUCUAUUCUCCUUUUCUUCUCUUUAUCCUUCAUGCUGCCUGCAAGAUAGGAAGAAUGAGAACAAUCAGCCGGAACUCGAAAUCAAACUUCUGAUCUGGGACUGAUUGCUUGGAGCUCUGAUUGCUUACCUUGUUUGUCACCUCUUUCAGCAGAUCCCCUAGCUCGGCGACUUGGGGGACUCCUACUACAUGGUUUGUAUCGCGCUUGACCAAGCCUGAAACUACAAGUAAGCUUCAAGUGAAAUUGAUACAUUACCUUGUGCAUCUCCACUAGUUAAAGAUACCACCCCUGGAUGGAGGAAGAGUACUUUCAGAGAAGAUGCCACAUCUACCUAUGAGACAGAUAAGGCAAGUGAAGACGAUACCACACUUCGGUACUUAGAAGUUUCGUGAUUACGAGAUCAUUCUCCCACAAUAUUUCCUAAUGUCAUUUGUACUAAAUCAUUCAUUUGUACUCACUAAAGGAGAGCUUGAAUCUAUGUACUUGUGUAAACCCUUCACAAUUAAUGAGAACUCAUCUACUCCGUGGACGUAGCCAAUCUGGGUGAACCACGUACAUCUUAUGUUUGCUUUCCUGUCUCUAUCCUUUUACAUACUUAUCCACACUAAUGACCAGAGCAAUAACUUAAUACUUUCUGUUGUACCAAAGUCCUCACUGAUUUUGUGCAUCAACAAUCCUUAAGUCCUUACCCUUUUGCGUUGGUAAUGGAUGAGUUAACAGGACAUAUUCAAGAUGAUAUUCCUUGGUGUAUGAUUCUCGCAAAUGAUAUAGUGUUGAUAGAUGAAACUCAGGAGGGGUAAAUGCGAAGCUUAACCUUUGGAGAGAACUGUUGGAAUCUAAAGGUCUUCGCCUAAGCCGAUCAAAGACAGAAUAUAUGGAGUGCAAGCUCAGUGCAAAUGGAGGCCAAAAUGAGUUAGGGGCGAGGAUCGGAGAUCAGGUAAUCCCAAAGAGCGACCGUUUUAGCUACCUAGGAUCUAUCUUGCAAAAGAACGGAGAAAUAGAUGGAGAUCUCAACCAUAGAAUACAAGCUGGAUGGAUGAAGUGGAAGAGUGCAUCUGACGUGUUGUGUGACCGUCGUAGGCCACUGAAGCUCAAGGGAAAAUUUUAUAGGAUGACAAUAAGGCCAACGAUGAUGUAUGGCACAGAAUGUUGGGCGGUGAAGCAUUAACACGUACACAAAAUGGGUUUGGACAUGUGCAAAACCGAGCGCAAUGGCGUUCUAGGAUUCAUAUAGUUGACCCCACUUAGUGGGAAAAGGCUUGGUUGUUGUUGUUAUUGUUGUAUUACAGGCUUCUAUGGUGGAAAAGCGCACUGUUGUUCUCUAAGAAGCAACAUCGCAACUUCCCCUGGAUACCCCGAUUGAGGACGUCACUGUACCUGAGGAUGCAGGUUUUGAGAUCAUGACUGAGGUCCUCAAUCAGAAGUUCGGUCGUCGUCAUGGCAAAGUUGUUUGGGGCAUGGGGAAGGCGCGUGUUUGUGAAACGGGUGCCUCCUCUUCCAUAUCGACCACAGGAGAGGUCAAUGCUCCAAAGGAGGAAGUGACAACCCUAAAAGGUCAGCUUGUAGGAAGAGCAGAUAAAGGCCCAAAAUGAGCAGAUGAGGGUUCAGAACGCGCAGCUGAGGGUCGAGAACGAGCAGAUGAAGGCCCAAGUUAGGACCCAGGGUGACAAGAUGAAUAUGAUUCUACAGGCCUUAGCGAUAUCCGGUCUUCAAAUCCAGAUGCCAUCACCUGAUCUUGCUCCACCUUCGACCUCCCAGCCACUUCAUCCAACUGAUACCUAGUAGUUUGAUGUAUCAAACUAGAAGACUACUUAUUGUAGUUUUUUCUUUUUUUGUUCGGACAUCUUGUAUGUACAUUUUCAUAUAGUUUAUAAUUAAAUACUUUUUAUUGGUUUAUUAUUUAUUUUUUAGAAUUGAAUUACAAUAUUUAUUAAAAAUGAUAUCAAAACUUUUUUUGUCCCAAAAAAAAAAAAUAGUUUGCGUGACGAAGAAGUUGCAUAGGUCACGCAAAGUGUCUUUGCGUGACGCACAAUCCUACGUUGCGCAAUUUUUUUGUCCCAAAAAAAAAAGUUUGCGUGACGAAGAAGUUGCCUAUGUCGCGCAAAGUGUCUUUUCGUGACGAACAAUCAUACGUCGCUCAAUUUUUUUGUCUAAAAAAAUAGUUUGCGUGACGAAGAAGUUGCCUAUGUAGCGCAAAGUUUCUUUGUGUGACUCAUGUACGUCACGCAAAGACACUUUGCGCGACGUAGGAUUGUGCGUCACGCAAAGACACUUUGCGCGAUGUAGGGUUGUGCGUCACGCAAAGUGUCUUUGCGCAACGCAUGCAACUUCGUCGUCACGCAAACCCUGCUUUCACGGGCUUGGCGCGACGCUUAGCGCGUGACGAAGGUUCAUCGCGCAAGUUUUUGCGCGACGUUUUUUGACUUUGCACGACGAAGGACCUACGUCACGCAAAGUAUUUUUUGUACUAGUGUAUACUCCAAUAAACUGUGUUUUUGAGGAUUGAAAGUAUACUGCAAUAAAAUUUAUUUGAAGUAUAAGGAAAUUAAUGAAAUUGUGUUUUUGAGGAUUGGAAGUAUACUACAAAUUGAGUAGCAAAGAUGGUCACUAGUUCAUCCUCAUUCAGGCACUGGAACUUUCCAAGCUCAUGAUAUGGCCAAGAUAACUUAUGGGCAGGGCAAGAAGGUUGUCUUAAUUCACUAGCAGGACCCAUCCCAACUGCAUUAAUUUCAAUCUCACGAGAUCGCCAAUAUACUUCCAAUGCUCAAAAACACAAUUUCAUUCAUUUCAGUUUACUUUUUAUUUUACCUCAAGUCUUAGGGUUUGAUCUUAAGAUUGCGUGAUGCUAAGUUAUUGCCUUAGGUGUGGGUUUAUUAAUCAAUUUUGGUUACAUUGUUAAUUUCAUCUUGUACUCAAUGAUAAUUAUGCAAUCAAGUGAAAAAAAAAAACAAUUCAAAUUUAAAUUUUAAGUUGGGUGUAGAGAUAGAUUAUAUGGGUUCAAAUAAAAUUUCUCUUUCCAAUAUGGUAAGGGUAGAGGGCCAAGUUGGUCGCAUGACCACAAGCAUAACUUGACUUAACAGAAUAAUCCCCAUUUGAAGUUCAAAGCCAAAUAAGGCGAUUAGAAGUAGAAAGGUCGCCCAACACCAAGCAUUCGAUGGCAUCACAAUCCGCAGGGGGUCAGAGAUGGUGCACUACUGCCAAGUUCCAUGAGCCCACAGAAACAAUGUCACGUACACACAUCGGAGAAUGGCUCGGAAUUGGAAAAAUAGGGUGCACUAGUUCAUCGCCAAGUAUAGUAAGUCAUUUAUCUUGCCAAAUACUAGCCCACCCACCAUCCCCAAUUUGCCAGCGGACACCAUGAACAAUGAGAGCUUGAACCCGUAAUAGAUUGCUCCACGCCUAGGAGGCCCGGGAUCUCUUAAAGGCAUUAAUGGCAUCCUCCGAAGGGAAAUAUUGCCCACUGAGAAUGCGAGUCCAAAACGUCGUGGGUUCAGAGACAAGCAGCCAAAAUUGCAUUGCCAGGAGAGCAACAUUGAAAUCCAUUAGGCUUCUAAAACCCAAACCCCAACCAACUUAGGGGAGCUAACCGAAGCUCAGCUCCGCUAAUGAAUCUUGCAUUUGUUGUCGCACUAACCCCACCAGAAACGGGCCAUGAGGGCAUCAAUAUCUGUACAAAAAGUUGUCGGACAUAAGAAACAAUUCAUGGGGGAAUUUGGGAUAGCCAUGACCCCUGAUUUAAGCGAGAGAUAAAAUGGAGUACUUACCACUUUGUAAUUUUUGCGAGAUUUGAUCUUUCAUAAAAACAAGAGCCUCCAGUUUGGAUCACCCACAAAUAUUAUGAAGACCCAGAUAUUUACCCGGAUAAGAGGUCUAAGGCAUAUCAGAGAUACGACAUGAGUGAGCAAUAUCAUCAGGGGGAGUAUUUGCCGUGAAAAAGAUGGAGGACUUCUGUUGGUUGACGAUUUGGCCCGAUGCCAAUCAGUAAGUGUCAAGGAUCUUGAGUAGGGAAUGACAAUUAUUCGGAUCCGCCUAAUGAAGAAAAUGGAGUUGUCUACAAAUAACAGGUGGGAUAGAAUCGGGCAAGAAGGCAAAGGAGAAUCCCGGAGAGGGCACCCACCUCACAUUGGCAAUCGAUAAGAGAAGAAAGUCCCUCGGUGACAAAGAGAAAUAGAUAUGGAGAUAAAGGAUCCCCUUGCCAUAAACCCCUUUAGGGCUUAAAACAAUCACCACCUGUUCCAGUGAAAGAAACCGAGAAGAAGACCGUUUUAAUGUAAACCAUGGCCAAAGGAACCCAUCUUGAUUGAAAACCCAUCAUAAUUAGGACCGCCUCUAAAAAAAUCCCAUUCAACCCGGUCAUAAGCUUUAUUCAUGUAGACUUUCAGAGCCAUUUCAAAGCCAAAUUUUGAUUUUUUAUGCUUAUGUAAUGGAAAAUGUUAAACCCCACCCCCGAAUUUAUAUCUAAUUUUAUAAAUUCCCAAAGUUUUAUUGAAAUUAAACAUUUUUAUUUUCUCCUCCACUCCCUAGCUGCCACUUGGUAGCACCCUAACUCCCCAUUCUUUUCUUCCCUUUUCCCUCACCCCAUGACCCCCUCUAUUCUCUCUUCCAGCUCUCCCCUUUCAAACUCUCUCUCCUGUAUCUCUCUCUCGUUCUCAGAUCCACACACACACACACACCAUCACCACACUCCCGUACCCGCUUACUUCGUGACAUCAUCAUCAUCGUCUCGUUGUCCAUCUCUCUCUCUCUCUCUCUCUCUCUCUAAACACUUUCUUUUACCUCUCUGGCGCUGAGAAGGAAACCACCAUCACCCACGCCAUUUUUAACCAAACCAAAACCCAAAAAUAUGAACCUCAAACCUUUGGGACAUGGGGAAUCCACCUACAACCUUGCAUGGGUCAUCAAAGCACCUCUAUGUGCUCUGCCAUUAGCGCAGAGAGCUUGAGCUCUCUCGAACUCCAUCUUAGGUAUGGUUUAAUCCCUCUCUUGAUUAGUGUGGGUUAUAAUCUGGUAUGUGAUACGUGUUUAUGUCGAAAAUCUAAGGGUUUAAACCCUGUUUUGAAUAUAUGCAUGCAUGCCACCCCCAGUGACAAAUUCCGGCGGAUGCCGUUGAGUUUGAAGCUCAUGUUGUUCUUGAUAUUUAUAUAUUUUGUAAUCAUGAUGUGUAAUUAAGUUCAUAGCUGGGGAUUUCGAUGUAGCCUUGCAAAACUAUUCUAUGUUAUUAAGUUAAAGUAUUCGAUUCAUCAAUCUGUUUUCUUGUUUCAUUCACUGAUUUUAUAGUUUAAUUUGUUUGUUUAUCUUAAUGUUUGAUCACCAUUAGGGUUUCUUAUAGAUUAUUUGAUCAAGAUUAUAGUACACAUCAUGCUUAAUCUUGGUAGACAUGUGAACGAAUGAAGAAACUGCAAUGCAUACAUCCUGCCAUGUGAUUUCUUUGGUUCGUUGAAGUUUUCUUGUUCUUAAUGGAUUCUUACUUGCUAAUCUAAGUUGAACAUAACAACUAGAUUGCAGAUUAGGAGUACUUGAUCACAACCACACAUCAAAUGAAUGAUCAUAAAUAAGUAAAAUGAACCCUAGUUGUAGAUUGGAGAGUUGAAUGCGUUUUGACUUAAUUUUCGUGCAAUUGACUUAUAAUGGUGAAAUUGGUAUCCCUAGUUUCAUUCCCAUUGUUUCUGAAUCAUUCUAUUUUUUCAUUUUUACAUUCUCUUGCAUUUUAAGUUACUUUACUUCUCAAAUCAAAACUCAAUUUGUUAGUUUCAUUGUUUAGUUAGGAUUCACAUAAAGCUAGUAAUUUGUAGAGGUCUAAUCAGUACAUGUGGUUUGACACCCUUACAUGUGCCAUUAUACUACCCUUAUAGUUGCACUUGAAAGGAACACAACAAAAUUUUGCCGCUGUUGCCGGGGACUGAUUUCAGUCCCAUAUAAUAUGGAUAGAUGAAUUUCCAAGGAGAGAUGAAUUUCCUACAAUUGUCCGAGAGCAUUCACACCUCAUAAGUUUCUCCAACUGUUGUGUUCCUUUCAAGUGAAAAUAUAAGGAUAGUAUAAUGGCAUAAGUAAGGGUGUCGAAGCACAGGGACUGAAUAGAACUCUACAAAUUACUAGCUUUAUGAGAACUCUAACCACACAAUGAAAAUGCAAACUGAAUUUAGAUUUUGCAAUUGAAAACUAAAAUAACUUAAAAAUGCAAGAAAGAUAAAGAUAAAUGAUAUGUUGAUUAAGAAACGAUGGGAACGGAACUAGGAAUAUCGAUUUCACCAUUACAAGCCAAUUCAAUGAAAAUUAUGUUAAAAUGUAUUCAACUCUCCAAUCUGCAACUAGGGUUCGUUUUACUUAUUUAUGAUCAUCCAUUUGAUGUGUGGUUGUGAUCAAGUACUCCUAAUCUACAACCUAGUUGUGAUGUUCAACUUAGAUUACCACAUGUCUACCAAGAUUAAGCAUGAUGUGUACUAUGACCUUGAUCAAAUAAUCUAUAAGAAACCCUAAUGGUGAUCAAACAUUAAGAUAAACAAACAAAUUGAACUAUGAAAUAAGUGAAUGAAACAAGAAAACAGAUUGAUGAAUCGAAUACUUUAACUUAAUAACAUAGAAUAGUUUUGCAAGGCUACUUUGAAAUCCCUAGCUAUGAACUUAAUUACACAACAUGAUUACAGAAUAUAUAAAUAUCAAGAACAACAUGAGUGAAAUUAAAGUUCAUAGAAGAAAUCCCCUUGAAGCAAUUCUAAUGUUGAACUUCUCUAAGAACAGCGCGGCUGCGUGGUUUCUUUGGAGGCUGCGGAUGGUGAAUGGAGAAAGGAUUUUGUUUCUGGAAGAAAGGCCAAAGAAAGAGAAGGGAGACAUCUCUGGGCGAUCCCAAGGGGAAGCUUAUGUAAAAGUGGCUGAAACUCUCAGUUUUAUAAGGUUAAAGAGGCUGUUACAAAUUGCCAAUACAUCCCAAUAAUUGGGCAUUUAAUUCCCAUGUUUUUUUGCUGUUCAGUAUUAUAAAGAGCCAUAUUCAUCACCAUAUUCAAUUUCCUAUUUUAAUUAUUUGUCUACAUCAGCAUCCUUAUUCAAUUCUCCACUUUUAGCACCAUCUUGCCUUAUUUGUCCUUAACUGAGCUCCAAAAUGCGAUUAGCUGCACACUAACACAAAAGAGGGUAAAAUGCAACUAGUUUAACUCAAAAAUAUCACAAAGGGACUAGGAAUGGAUGGUAUAAAUGUAUGAAAUAUAUGAGUUAUCACCAACCAAAGGCCAAUACAUCCAUUGUCAAACACAAAUAGCUCUGUUUGGAGAAACCUUAAUCAUGAGUCUUAGAGCAGCAUGGAAGCUCCAAAUCAAGCAUUUGCACGUCCCCCACAGCAGACCCCAUUUGACACUUUAUUGGAGAACACUUUGGAGCUACUUGCUCAAAGCACCUUACAAUUUCAACAAUCAAUGAGUAGCAUGAUUCAAGAACAGUCCACUGCACUUACCAAGUUGGACAUUCAAUUGGGGUAGAUUGUCUAAGCGUUAAAUGAACAACAACCUUGGGGUGAUGGUCAAGAUGUGAACAUUGAACAAUCAUUGGAAUCUAGUUGUGCCUAUAUACAUAGAGAAGAUCUUAAACUUGAAGUUCUUUCCCAAUUUGCUAAUUCGCUUGAUUUUUUUUUUCAAAAGUUAUGUUGGAUUCUUCCUGUUGUUUUACAUCUUUGCAGGUGCCAUCUUUGGAGCCUUUUGGAGAUGAUUUGCUGCCAUAUCAAGAAGAAAACAUAUUGAAGUUGGAUGACAAAUCAUUAAUGUCCAUUCACCAUAAGAAAGAAAAUUCGAAGCUAGACGAUGAGAUUGUUGCCUUGAACGAAUUUCAUUCAUCCUUAGUAGCUAUAAACUAAUCCAUUGAAAUCAUUGCUCCAACCACAUCUUCAACAAUUUUUUAGGAUAUGCUUCUUAGCAAGGAGAGACAAAAACACCAUCACAAUCAAGUUCUUGUGGAAAUUCAACGCACCAUAUUCAAAGUCCAUCGAAAGAAACCACUUCUUUCGACCAACGUUCGGAAGUAUCUUGACUUCCUGCCACCCUAGGUGUUCAUCCAUCAUACACACCGCAUCUUGCCUAGACGUUAAAUAAAGCACUUGCUAGGAGGCAACCUAGCUGGGUUUGUGUCUUUUUAUUUGUGUCUUCUAGUUUUAUUUUAUUUUCAUUCCACACGCUUUGUCUAUUUACAUUGCAUGCAUUCCAUUCAUAUUUAAGCAUCGAAGACAAUGCUUAGUUUAGGUUUGGGGGUGUGGGAUUGAAAAUUUUCGUUAGCUUUUAGUUUUGGUUAAGUUUACUUUUGCUUACUAAUGUGAAUGUAUAUGAGGGCUAUGUUUACAAACAAAACUACAAUGUUGUCAUGAAAAAGUUUCAUAUCUUAUUUUCUUUUUUACAAAGUUGUUACUCUUGGAAUUAUGAUGGUUAAAGUACCAUGCGCAAAUUCUGGAAGAAGAAUAGCGGAGACUACCCUAGCGAGUUACUUUGAGCCUAUUUGCUUCUUUGAGAGGGUUUAAAGUGUUUCUGCUCCUAUCUUUUUCUUUCCAUUUCACUUUAAAUGAUCUCAUUAUUUCUCUUUAAUUGAAUGCUAAGAAUAAUCCUAUGUUGUAGAUACCAUAUGUUUAUUAUCACCUAUGAAUGAACUCAUUGAGACGAUGUUAGGUUAUGCAUGUUUUAACCACCAAAAGGCCUAAUUCCCAUCCCUUUGUGUGCUCCAUACCCUCUUUGCAGCCAAACACUUUUAGCCUAGUUCUUUCAUCAACCAUACCAAACUCUAUCAAUUUUAGCCCAUUACAGUCAUACCCUAUAGUUUGGGGAAUACCAAAGUGAUGAAGACAAAGAUAGAUUGAGCAUUAGAUCAAGAAUGUGGCGAGUACCAAGGUAACAUAUGCUGGAAUUACAAAACAAGAAAAAAAAAAGUUUCAAAAAAAAUAAAAAAAAGAGAUGAAAAGAAAAGAAAAAAACAUGAUAAAAGAAAAUGCAAUUUCCAAAUCCUUUCAUUAUCACACAUAGGUCCUGGACCCCAAGAACAAACAAGUAAGGUCAAUUGAAGAUGAGAGCUUGCUGGUUUCACAAGGAAGACACUUUGGUAUGUUCCAAGCUUUAGUAUUUCCUAUCAUUUUCUUCAUAGCCCCUCGCCUAAGCUUUACAUUACAACCGUGUGAAAGACCUAGCUAAUUGAUCGGAUCAUAUUUAUAUAUAUUUUACUUUGAAUUCACUCGUCUUUUCUUAGUUAGUUCCUUAUAUUUUUGAGCUAUUUACGUUAUUUUUGUGUUUAUAGGAUUUGUUAUGCAAAGAAAAUAAAAAUAGAACAAGUAAAAUUAUUUACUUGAUUCUGUUUUAACCACCAUAGGUAUGAACUGAGCCCAGGUAAGGUAUACAUCUAUAUCUUGCAAUGCAGAAUGUUUGAAGUUUUGGAGGUUUAGUGGUUAUCAGGAUUGGAGUGACUAUAGUUUUUAAUAUGGUAUUUUGUUUAAAAAUCUGUAUGUCUUUACAUUUCCACUUCCCGAUGCCUUUCUUUUUCUAAUUUCUACUAUGUGAUUAUCCAAAUCUACAAUUUUAUUUUAACUAAAGGUACAAUGACAUUGCUAAGUAUGGAUUUUCUGCAAUGGGGAGAUCCGCGCCAACCACAUUGGAUCCUGUCAGACAAAAUGAUGUUGGUUUGGAAAGACCUGCUGGCGUAGAAGGGGUCAUGAUUGGUAUAGGAGAGCAGGUGUAUUCAUUACUUCUUUUGACCUGUUUCUUCCUGGAGGUGGAGGGGCUGAACAAGUGAUUUCUUCAAAAAGGAAAGUAGAGGGCAGAGACCGUGAAAAACGGAAGGAGAAUAAAAAAAAUAAAUAAAAGAAGAGAGGAACGCGGAAAGGGGGCGAGAGGGAAACGGAGAGGAGGGAGUCCAGAGGAAAGCUGCCAUUUGGCAGCUUGAUGAGGGGGGAUAAGAAAAAGGUCAGGGGAGAGCAGAAAGAGGACAGAGGGAUAGACACGGGAAGAAGAGAGGAACGCGGAAAGGGGGCGAGAGGGAAACGGAGAGGAGGGAGUCCAGAGGAAAGCUGCCAAAGCUGCCAUUUGGCAGCUUGAUGAGGAGAGCAGAAAGAGGACAGAGGGAUAGACACGGGAAGAAGAGAGGAACGCGGAAAGGGGGCGAGAGGGAAACGGAGAGGAGGGAGUCCAGAGGAAAGCUGCCAUUUGGCAGCUUGAUGAGGGGGGAUAAGAAAAAGGUCAGGGAGAGCAGAAAGAGGACAGAGGGAUAGACACGGGAAGAAGAAGCAGAAGGCUGCCCUUGCAGCUGGAGCAAAACCGAAAGAAGGGUGCGCUGCUCUUGGCAGCACCGAGGGCAGAAAAUGGCAGCGCACGGACAAACAGACAGCUCUUCUCUCCUCUCGGUUAAAUCUUUCCAACUUAUGUUUUACUUUCGGUUUAAUUUUUCCAAACUUCUCUUUUAUUUCUGUUUUUAAUAAUGUGUAAUUAAAUUUAUGUUGGUUAGAGGUUAAUUCGAAACCAUGAUUAUAUUUGUAAUAUGAAUUGAUUACCUUCAGUUGUGAUUUAUAAGUUGUGAAUUCAAUUUACUUAUCCGUUCGUAUAAAAACUGAUUUGUGUAUGUUGGUUGAGAGUGCACGCUUAAUUUACAUGCAUGAAUUUGAUGCUAGAAUAUAAGUGAAUUUCACCUAAUCGUUAUGAACUUAUUUUCACAAGUAGUAAAGGUUGCUAGUCACAAUCACGUUAAGUAAAUUCUUGGCAAGAGUAUCAUGUUUUUCAUAGUUACGAAUGCCUCGUCAAUGCUUAUAGUUUUCACAAAGUUUAAUGAUCUUUGAUUGUAUCUCUAUUGUGCUUUUCACGUAGGGGACUUUUGAAGAAUGUUUUGAAUUGUUGUAUGCGUUUUCCCGUCCAAUUCAAUAACUUAAGGAAAACUUGAAGAUUAAAAAAGUGCUGUUCACGGUUAAUCUGGAGUAUUGAAAUUUUACAAUUUAUUAAAAGAACAACUGGAAAUCAUUUUGUAUGCAAGUAUAACAUGUGUGGAGAAGAACCCUCUAGCUAGUCCGUCAUUUAUCAUUUUACCUUAAUUUUAUGUUUUUGUCAAUUCUGUAAUUUAAUUAAGUUUAAUUUACUUUUCAUCAAAACCAAACACCCAUCCAUUAUUAAAUUAUAUUAUUUAGUUAGUUUUCUUUAUUGUUAGUCUUUUAAUUUAAUUUCCGUCCAUUUCAGUUCCUAGUGUUUAAUUUAAUUGUUUUCAUUAUUUUGAGUCAUUUUAAGUGUGUUUCGAGUUAUUAGAGUUUUUAGCCUAAUUUUGUGUCCUUGAGUCUUAUUUAAUAUUUUUAAAUUAAUUUAGAAUAGAUUAGCAAUCCCUCCUAAUCCCCGGCCUAGAACGAUACCCUACUUACAUCCAUACUACAAUUGUCAAAAAGAGGGUUUAAUUUGUGUGUCAAGUAAUUUUCACAUCAAAUUUUGGCGCCGUUGCCGGGGAUUAGCAACUUUGCUAAUCCUUUUAUUUUUGUUUUUGUUUAUGUUUAUAUUGGUGUUUGUGUAUUUUACUUUUGAUAUUUGAUUUAUUUUUCUUUCUUUGAUUUUAGGUUCAAAUGGAGCCGAGGGAAAUUUAAAGGAAAGAUGCGUCCGGCUAAAGAUGUUAAAUCAAGCGCUUCUUGGGAGGCAACCCAAGCAUUCAACGAAGGGAGACUUUGGAAUCGUUAACCCAAUCAGAUUUGCAUUUUUACACCCUUAUCUUUAAUGCUUUCAUUUUGUCUUGUUUAGUUAGUUGUGUUAUUUGUUUGAUUUCUGUGAGUUUGUGUUAUUUAGUUUAAGUGUGGGGGAAGGUUAACCAAAGUCUCUUUACAUUAAUUUACAUUUAUAAAAAAAAAAAAAAAAAAAAAAAAAAAAAAAGAUAAAAUUUAAAAUUAAUGAUAAAAAAAAAAAAAAAAAAAAAAAAAAGAAAGUACAAAUAUUUUACAAUGAUGUAAACUAAUAGUAUUCAUUGGUCGGGCGGGGCUUCAGCAGUCGGCGGGGCCACAGAAGGAGGAGGCGGCAGAGGUUGAUCAGUUGGAGCUUCACUACGCGGUGCCGCUCCAGAAGACGAAGGCAGAUGUUGUUGGAACAAACCCACAAACCUCCGAUGAUCAAGUAAAAUUUGACCAUCGGUGUCCUGCAUCUGGUCAAUCUUCCUCUUCAUGCUGGUGGCAUAGCUGUGUGCGAGCUUGUGCAAUUCCUUAUUCUCAUGCUUGAGCCCUUUAAUCUCUUGCUUGAGACUCUGUAUUUCAGCCACCAAGGAUUCAACGUGACGGGUUCGGGCAUAUAGGCGUUGGGCCAUGUUGGAUACGGAACCCGCACACUGCACACUGAGAGCCAGAGACUCCUUGACCGCCAAUUCAUCAGACCGCCUUGCGAGCAGUCUGUUAUCUCUGGGAGUGACAAGGUUUCGGGCCACCACCGCAGCGGUCAUGUCAUUUUUCAUCAUCGAAUCCCCCACGGUAAGGGGACCGGUAGGGGAUAUGAAGGAUGGCCGCCAUAUGUUGUCUGGUGAAGGCGGAGCUGCCUCUUCACCAAUGUUCAAGUCAAAACGACGAUCAGAAGGGCCAGACAUUUUUCAGAGGUGGUAAAGAAAGAAGAGAGUUGGACUGAUCAAGAUUAAACAAGUGCAAGAUGGGAGUGUUUACAGGAGGGUACUCAAGUGUGUUGUGGAACAAAAAAAUUAACGCCUCUAUAAAAAAGAAGAAAUCAAAGAGGCGCUCCUCAGAGAAGCGUCCUCUCGCAAAUCGAAGAGUCGGGGCUCCUUUCUCAAAAGCCGGAUUCUUUUCUCAAAAGAGGAGUUUCCGUUCUCAAAAGCCGGAUUCUUUUCUCAAAAGAGGCGUUCAUUUCUUAAAAGUUGGGCUUGCUCAGAAACCACGAGCCGAACCCCGGAUUUCGCAAGAUCAAAUUCGUCCAGACGUGUUUGUCACCCGUCACACGCAAACUCAGCUCUCUGCGAAAAUCACGGGCAGUCUGUCGAAGUGCCGAUUCCAACCAUCUGUCUCUCUCAGCCUAGUCAGCACUUGUCACAUGCAACUGGCAGCUUUGCGGAAAUUACGGGCAGCUUUGUCAGAAAGCGCGUAAUUUGUAUUCUUCACCCAUCCACCGGCUGCCGACACUAAGUGAGAGAACAGUUCCGGUUGUGAAGACAAGUCCUAUAAGUUUCUACCUUCGCCUUCCACAGCAAAAACACACUCUCUCAGCACACCCUCUCAACACCUCUUCAUCUCCGAAAAUGCAUUCCCAAAGAAUCCUCUCGAGUCACUCUGUGUUCCUCAUUCCUUGGGAUACUCCUGCGAACAACCCAUUCAAAGCAAAAGUAUUUCAUAUCAUAAAGGUUGAAAGCAAGAGUAUCUCAUAUCAUGCUUUCUCCAUGUCCUUCUCCUUGUCUUUGUUUUCCGACAAGGAGAAAGAGAGCAAUCAGCCAGCAUUUGGUAUCAAUCUUCCAAUCUGGAGCCAACUGCCUGGAACCCUUUCCUGAUUGCUUACCUAGCCUUGCUCUCGAGUACUCAUCUUCAUCAUUUUAUGCUUUCUCUUCGUCUACCACAUCUGCCUGGGGACAGUAAGGGAAGUGAAAAUGAUACCUCGAAGCAUGUGGAGACAAUUCAGCUAGGGACAAGGAGAAAGAAAGCAAGAGGUGGGCACUUGGAAAGAUUGAAGAAAGAAAUAAGGACCAACACCUUUCCCUCGUGCCUGCCCGUUGUGCAGAAGAAACAAGCAGAGAAGAAUGCAGCUUGCACAAUCAUCCCAGCGGAAGGAGUCCGAACUGAGGAACUAGAGAAGCUGCCACAUCUGCUUGGAGAACAAAUAAGGAACUGCAACAUUCCCAAAGAGCAAAGCUCCGCCGUACAAUAUCAUCAAAUAGUAAAAAGCUAAGUGUCACCCUGUUCAAGAGGAAAGCUGUGGAAAGUCAACAAGCACGACCAAUGAUUACUUAUUAGUUUUAUUCAUUAUCUUUUAUCGUAAUUUUCAAUUUUUCGUUUGCAAUUUUUUUUUUUUUUAAUUAAUUUUCUUGCGUACUUAACUGCAUUAUUUCUUUUCUUUGCAGGAACUUUUGGUUAUUUCCACCCUUGAAGUUGAUUGCAGAAUUUUAGCUUGGGGGUCAUCGCUUGAUUUUACUGCAAAUUAGGGAAGUUUUCAGUCCCAUUGUUUUAUUUUGUUUCUUAUUAUUUAUUUAUUUAUUUUAUUUUUAUUUGCGUUAUAGUGUUUUCUGACAUUGGGGACAAUGUCAAGUUUAAGUGUGGGGGUAGAAAUCUCUAGAAUUUCAUUUGUUUCUGUGUUGUUAGUUUUUGUUUUCUUAAAAAAAAAAAAAAAAAUAAAAAAAAAAAAAAAUAAAUAAUAAUAAAAAUAAAAAAAUAAAAAAAAAAUCGGAAAAUUUAAAAAUCCAAAAAUAUUGUCUUGUUUCCCUUUUUGUUCUGAAUCAGAUUUUUUUUUGUUAGUUUCCCGACCCAAUGAUAUAAUUAGAUCAAAUUUGAAUCAUGAUUAUCAAGAACUUAGUUAACAUGUGUUUUGUGAAAUUCCUAAUUCUUUUGUUAGUUUUGUACAUGUUUGAUCAUCUUUGAAAAACCAAAUGCACAUAGCCUUGUUGAUGUGAAACUAAAGCAUAACUUAAAGCUUCAUAUGUGAAUUUAGUGACCAUCCUAUGUGAGUUUUUGAGCCGAUUGAAAGUGUGUGCAUUUUUCAUACACUCCUAUUUUUUUAUGUGUGAUGAACUUAUGUGAGAUACAUCUCUAGAACUUGCGUAACGAUCUUUCGAAAUGUUUGUCAUUGAUUGCAUGAAUUUGGAAAUGAUAGAGGCAUUAGGUUUACCACUAUGGCCCAAAUAACCAUGUUUCCCAAAGAAAAAUGAUAUCAUUAGAUUGCCAAGUUGAGCCGUGUUUGUUGAGCCUUUUAUUUCUUAUCACCAGAUAUGUCUACCCUUAUACCUGAAAUAUUUUUCCUUACCAUUUCCAAGCGAGCAAUGCGAGAUUGUCUUAUGAGAAACGGUUGUGAAGUACUUUGAAGGUGUUUGGCAAAAGAAUAAGUGUGGGGGUAUUUCAUGUUUGUAUAAAAAAAAUAAAAAUAAAAAAAAUAAAAAAAAAGAAGAAAAAAAGAAAAGAAAAAGAAAGAUUGUAUACAAAGAAAAUAAAAAGUUUUUAAAGUUUCAGUUUAAGGGUGUGAUUGGAGGUAUCAGAAGAAUCGUUGUAGAGCUUGAGUUCUUAUAAAUCUAAACAAAAGAAUUGCUUGCAAUGUAGCUUGGAACUUGUGUUUUCCUAUUCUUUCGUUUCAAUAACCCUAUCCCUAAGCCUCAUUACAUCCAAUAAAAGUCCUCUUGAUUUAAGUUUUGCAAUUAUGACUGUGGAGAAGUGAUCUUUAUGCAAGCUUAUGGUAGAAAUUUCACAUUUGUUUCUUUGAGCGAAACACAUUAAAACUAAACACAUGUGUGAUUGAGUGCAUAUCCUGUGAGAAAGUCGCUAGUUUGCAUAUGAUGAUUUUAAAAAUAAAAACUUGAAAUUGCAUUAGCAUGGCUAUCUCACACACUACACUUCAAGGAUGAUUUAAAGAUUACUGCUAAUAUUUGAAUAAGGAAGAUGAACUUGGAUUAGUUCCUUGAUGCUAGCUAUGGUUCUUGAUGAUUUGUUCUCUUGAAUGAAAUUCUAUGAGGGUCACAUAGAGGGAAGCUAAUGUUUUUCAUGUUAUUACUUUUUCAUAUUUUCUUUGUUUUGCUCGAGGACUAGCAAAAGUUAAGUGUGGGGGUAUUUGAUCGGAUCAUAUUUAUAUAUAUUUUUACUUUGAAUUCACUCGUCUUUUCUUAGUUAGUUCCUUAUAUUUUUGAGCUAUUUACGUUAUUUUUGUGUUUAUAGGAUUUGUUAUGCAAAGAAAAUAAAAAUAGAACAAGUAAAAUUAUUUACUUGAUUCUGUUUUAACCACCAUAGGUAUGAACUGAGCCCAGGUAAGGUAUACAUCUAUAUCUUGCAAUGCAGAAUGUUUGAAGUUUUGGAGGUUUAGUGGUUAUCAGGAUUGGAGUGACUAUAGUUUUUAAUAUGGUAUUUUGUUUAAAAAUCUGUAUGUCUUUACAUUUCCACUUCCCGAUGCCUUUCUUUUUCUAAUUUCUACUAUGUGAUUAUCCAAAUCUACAAUUUUAUUUUAACUAAAGGUACAAUGACAUUGCUAAGUAUGGAUUUUCUGCAAUGGGGAGAUCCGCGCCAACCACAUUGGAUCCUGUCAGACAAAAUGAUGUUGGUUUGGAAAGACCUGCUGGCGUAGAAGGGGUCAUGAUUGGUAUAGGAGAGCAGGUGUAUUCAUUACUUCUUUUGACCUGUUUCUUCCUGGAGGUGGAGGGGCUGAACAAGUGAUUUCUUCAAAAAGGAAAGUAGAGGGCAGAGACCGUGAAAAACGGAAGGAGAAUAAAAAAAUAAAUAAAAGAAGAGAGGAACGCGGAAAGGGGGCGAGAGGGAAACGGAGAGGAGGGAGUCCAGAGGAAAGCUGCCAUUUGGCAGCUUGAUGAGGGGGGAUAAGAAAAAGGUCAGGGAGAGCAGAAAGAGGACAGAGGGAUAGACACGGGAAGAAGAGAGGAACGCGGAAAGGGGGCGAGAGGGAAACGGAGAGGAGGGAGUCCAGAGGAAAGCUGCCAAAGCUGCCAUUUGGCAGCUUGAUGAGGAGAGCAGAAAGAGGACAGAGGGAUAGACACGGGAAGAAGAGAGGAACGCGGAAAGGGGGCGAGAGGGAAACGGAGAGGAGGGAGUCCAGAGGAAAGCUGCCAUUUGGCAGCUUGAUGAGGGGGGAUAAGAAAAAGGUCAGGGAGAGCAGAAAGAGGACAGAGGGAUAGACACGGGAAGAAGAAGCAGAAGGCUGCCCUUGCAGCUGGAGCAAAACCGAAAGAAGGGUGCGCUGCUCUUGGCAGCACCGAGGGCAGAAAAUGGCAGCGCACGGACAAACAGACAGCUCUUCUCUCCUCUCGGUUAAAUCUUUCCAACUUAUGUUUUACUUUCGGUUUAAUUUUUCCAAACUUCUCUUUUAUUUCUGUUUUUAAUAAUGUGUAAUUAAAUUUAUGUUGGUUAGAGGUUAAUUCGAAACCAUGAUUAUAUUUGUAAUAUGAAUUGAUUACCUUCAGUUGUGAUUUAUAAGUUGUGAAUUCAAUUUACUUAUCCGUUCGUAUAAAAAACUGAUUUGUGUAUGUUGGUUGAGAGUGCACGCUUAAUUUACAUGCAUGAAUUUGAUGCUAGAAUAUAAGUGAAUUUCACCUAAUCGUUAUGAACUUAUUUUCACAAGUAGUAAAGGUUGUUAGUCACAAUCACGUUAAGUAAAUUCUUGGCAAGAGUAUCAUGUUUUUCAUAGUUACGAAUGCCUCGUCAAUGCUUAUAGUUUUCACAAAGUUUAAUGAUCUUUGAUUGUAUCUCUAUUGUGCUUUUCACGUAGGGGACUUUUGAAGAAUGUUUUGAAUUGUUGUAUGCGUUUUCCCGUCCAAUUCAAUAACUUAAGGAAAACUUGAAGAUUAAAAAAGUGCUGUUCACGGUUAAUCUGGAGUAUUGAAAUUUACAAUUUAUUAAAAGAACAACUGGAAAUCAUUUUGUAUGCAAGUAUAACAUGUGUGGAGAAGAACCCUCUAGCUAGUCCGUCAUUUAUCAUUUUACCUUAAUUUUAUGUUUUUGUCAAUUCUGUAAUUUAAUUAAGUUUAAUUUACUUUUCAUCAAAACCAAACACCCAUCCAUUAUUAAAUUAUAUUAUUUAGUUAGUUUUCUUUAUUGUUAGUCUUUUAAUUUAAUUUCCGUCCAUUUCAGUUCCUAGUGUUUAAUUUAAUUGUUUUCAUUAUUUUGAGUCAUUUUAAGUGUGUUUCGAGUUAUUAGAGUUUUUAGCCUAAUUUUGUGUCCUUGAGUCUUAUUUAAUAUUUUUAAAUUAAUUUAGAAUAGAUUAGCAAUCCCUCCUAAUCCCCGGCCUAGAACGAUACCCUACUUACAUCCAUACUACAAUUGUCAAAAAGAGGGUUUAAUUUGUGUGUCAAGUAAUUUUCACAUCACUAAUCUUUGAGGAUGUAUUCAUGGGUGCUGGUAAGUACAUGUGCAAUCCAUAUUCUCUUAGUGUUUGAUUCAUUUCAUGAGAUCGGUUCAGAAAUUGUGCUUUUAUUUCGUAUUUCAUAUGUGAAAAUUUUGAUUCCCUUUUACAUAAUUUCACUCACAGAUGUUUGUGGAGAGACUACACCUUUGGAUCUAAGUGAAAAUUUGAGUGAUAUCUGUGAGGAAUAGAGUUGAGGUGAAUUCUAUCUUUAGCAUUUGAGUAUGGUGUUUUUUGAAGUCAUGAAUCAUGGAGUAAUAUUUUUACACUUUACACAGGAUACGAUUCUUUGAAGUGGCGGACUUUUGGUUUGGAUGUAUGACUAAGCUUUCAUUGGUUCUUAUUAGUUUGUUUCAAGUAUGCUUUAACCAAUUUGUUUGCAGAGUCUAUAGAUGUUUGUGGGCAUUAUCACUGUAAACCCUCAGGAGACACAACUCUUUCGACUAGGGACACCAAGAGGUUUAAAGGCUUGUUGCACAUGGUCAGUGCAAUCGUUUAGCAAGUGAAAGUGGUAUAGUAGAUUUUAUUGCUUUUGUGUGUUUUUAGUUAUAUUUUUGCUUGGGGACUAGCAAAAAUCAGGUUUGGGGGUAUUUGAUAACUCAUAUAUUUUAUGCAUUUAUACCAUCCAUUUCUAGUCUCUUUGUGAUGUUUUGAGUUAAAUUGGUUACAUUUUACAUUGUUUUGUGUUAGUGCGUAGUUACAUGUACUUUAGGAUCAAUUUGAAGGCAAAGGAAGUGAAAACAUGCCAUUUUUGGAGCUGACCCUUAUCCAAACGUGGAGAAAAGUUUAGUGGCCUGUUUUGGAACUCAAAUAAAGUUGUUACUUGUUUUGAAAUCCAAAUAAAUAAUCCAAGACGAAUAUGGCUUGUUAGAAGACCAGGAACAGAAUGGGAAAAUAAUUGGAAUAUCUAGCAUGAUUUGGAAGAGCUAAAUAAGGAAAAACGUUCAAAACUUUGGCUUAAUGGUUGAGAUCACCUUGCAAUCAGCUACAACCCCAUUAAGCAUAAUAAUGCUAGGGUUUCAGAUCACUUUUAGACAAGCCCCCUUGGGGGGUCGCCCAGAGCUCACUCUCUUCUCUUUUUUUGGCCUUUCUUCCAGAAACAAAACCCUAUUUCCCUUCGCCAUCCACUGCCACCGAAGAAACCACGUAGUCGCGCUGUUCUUGGAGAAGUUCAACAUCAGAAUUGCUUCAAGGGAGUUUCUUCUAUGAAUUUAAUUUCACUCAUGUUGUUCUUGAUAUUUAUAUAUUCAGUAAUCAUGUUGUGUAAUUAAGUUCAUAGAUGGGGAUUUUGAUGUAGCCUUGCAAAACUAUUCUAUGUUAUUAAGUUAAAGUAUUCGAUUCAUCAAUCUGUUUUCUUGUUUCAUUCACUGAUUUUAUAGUUUAAUUUGUUUGUUUAUCUUAAUGUUUGAUCACCAUUAGGGUUUCUUACAAAUUAUUUGAUCAAGAUUAUAGUACACAUCAUACUUAAUCUUGGUAGACAUGUGAACGAAUGAAGAAAUUGCUAUGCAUACAUUCUGUAAUGUGAUUUCUUUGGUUCUUUGAAGUUUUCUUGUCCUUAAUGGGUUCUUACUUGCUAAUCUAAGUUGAACAUCACAACUAGAUUGCAGAUUAGGAGUACUUGAUCACAAGCACACAUCAAAUCAUGAUCAUAAAUAAGUAAAACGAACCCUAGUUGCAGAUUGAAGAGUUGAAUGCGUUUUGACUUAAUUUUCAUGGAAUUGACUUGUAAUGGUGAUAUUGGUUUCCCUAGAUCCAUUCCCAUUGUUUCUGAAUCAUUCUAUUAUUCAUAUUUACAUUCUCUUGAAUUUUAAGUUACUUUACUUCUAAAAUCAAAAUCAAAACUCAAUUUGUUAGUUUCAUUGUUUAGUUAGGAUUCAUAUAAAGCUAGUAAUUUUAGAGGUCUAAUCAGUACCUGUGGUUGGAUACCCUUAGUUGUGCCAUAAUACUAUCCUUAUAGUUGCACUUGAAACGAACACAACAGAUGGUGAAGGUGGUAUCAGUGCAGACAACUACCUUGAAGUCGCCAUAAGAGGCCCAAAACCUCUUUAUCAGUCGCACAGUGGUCCCCCACAGGGGUAGACAUUCAGCAAUGAGAAAUCCAGCCAAAUAGGUACCAUUGUUGGUGUUGAAUUACGUUCGAGGUUCACUAGGAGAUUGUUAGUGUGUUUUUGAUGGGCCUGAUGAUUUUCCAUGAGGAAAAGAGGGAUUAAGUGACAAAAUGUUAAAAGAGGGAUUCCAAUGAUAAAGAAACAGAUAUGGGAGACAGGGAGAGGACAAGAUUGGUGAUGAUAUUAUGGAGGUUGAGUGGAGUUUAUAAAUAAGUUUUGAGAACUUGAUGGGAUUUGAUUGAUGAGGUUGCAUGGUGUUAAUGGGUUGCCACAAAUGGGGUUUGGACUAGUUUAUGAUUACCCAUAGGAACUCAAUGGAAUUAAAGGGUAGGGCGGCUCCAAAUUCACUCCAGGGAGCAAGGAUUUGAAAGAGAAUAAAUAUACAUAGGAGCAAGAGAGAAAAACCUACCAAAGAGAAGAUGAUUAAGAGGUAAGGGAAGAUUUAGGAGAAUUAAGGGAAUCGAGAGAAUAGAUUUGCUUAGAUUCAGGAUAAAUGGGGGAUUGGAAGAGGGGAGAGAUAAAGAGGGGGAGUGUAGUGAGGGGGCAGCAACGUGACUGUAGUAAAUUUGAAAGACGACUAACAUCAAAUUGUUCAGGUGUAAAUAAAUUGAAAAGAUGGACAAAUGGACAGAUGGACAGAUGGAUAGAGGAGGCGGAUUAGACAUGCGAGGAGCUUAAAUAAAUAAAAUGAAGUCUUAAAUAGGGAAAAUUAAUAAAGGAAAGGGUUGGGAUAAAAGAAAGAUUGGGAAGGACGGUGAAAAAGAUUAAAAACAAACCUCAGAAAAACGAGAUGGGAAACCCUAACAAAGGCAGGGGAAACUCUCAAUGACAGAGAGUGGACCUAAUCUUGAUCUAAGUAAGGAAAUAUCUACCUCGAAGUCAAUUUUAUGAGGAAAAUCAGGCUCGCCUACUUGUUAAAUAGCUGGAAGGUAAUGGAUUGCCUCCUAAGUCUCAAAGGUGAAAAAUGGGCUCGCCAAGCAUCUUCAUUCUAAACAAUAAUUGUUUUGUACAAGGGUGAUGAAAUUGUCCUUAUUAUUACUUUAGUGUAAAGUGAGGGGGAUUUUGGCAUUGCUCAUAAGCGACAGUGAAAUUGGCCUGAUUUCGACAUAUUUACAACUCGGCCAUCCGAUUAAAAAACUGAAAGAACUUCUGCAUUUGGGGCCUUUGGUUUGUGGGUUUGGGCUUCGAGUGGGCCAUUGGGGCCACCUCAGCGAUCACAACUCUCACUUACAGAAAAUACACAACUUUCAUUUUGCAUUUUAUUUUUUUAAUAAAUUGUAACAGACUUGUUGAAUACUUAGAUUAACACACAUUAUAUGCUUGUUCCUCAUGUUUUCAUUAUGUUCUAAUAUUUUAUAAUCUAUAUGUCAUUAAAUUUUGUAAUUUAUGUAUCCUAAUGCAAUUAUGUAUUUUUUAAGUAGAAGAAGGCACUUAUUUAUACAAUAUAUAUUAGAUUUCACUUAAAUCCGCCUAGGCGGCUAGACCCUACCUCGCCACCCGACUAGUGCCUAGCAUUUUUUGGAACCUUGGUCGUAAAUAUGUUUUCCUCAUUUGAACUCUAUUUAGCUGUCAUUUGUUCUUUUCCUCAAUUCUUUCUCACCAUUUGCAUUUUUCGGAGCUUCUGGAAUGAGCCUGUAUAUAUUUUUUCCAUUUCUCUUCGUGAUUAUAUUAUUUUUCGUUGUGAGAUUGAUAUGCUGGAUUUAUUUAUCUAUGGUUGCGUUUUUUAGGUGUUUGGGGAAGAUCCAUUUUC